rnacentral:sRNA from 1 species
CUGAGCCCUCUCUCCAGCCUUCAAGGUACACCUUGCCAGGCAUUUGAUUACUUAACGAAUGCAAGUAACUCCCGUAGUAACAGGGUUAAUUCUUUGAGAGAAUAAUAUCGCUGUCAGCACACGCGCCCGUAUUGGGCGCCCAAAUAUAUUAAGCAAAUAUUAAAACAGAAAACAGAAACAGCAAGAGAUUUCAGUAACCCACUUUAGCUAUCGUGCCAGAUCAUCGGGAUGAGAAAUCCACAAGGAAGCCACACGGUGGACAGAUGGACCUGACGGCUAAACCCAGAGCUCGUGUUCACUCGGCAGCAUAAGGAGAGUCAAGCACGUACAGACUUACCAGAACAGAGAUCCCAGCGACAAAUCCACGCAUCUAUGGUCAAUUAAUCCUCAACAAGCAGGUCAAGCGCACACACUGGGGGAGGGGCAGUCUCUCCAAUAAAUGGUAUUGAGAAAACCAUAGCUGUGUACAAGACCCUUAUCACCCUAUACUCACUCAAAGUGGACUAAGGACUUAAAUAGAAGGCCCCAGACUGAAGCCAGAGGACCCCCGGGCCGAGCGGAGGCAGUCUGUCAGUUCCUUCUGGGUAAAUCAGGUUUUGUCCUGUUUGGCAGCCCUCUGUUAGUGCCUUCUGGAGAGGUCCGAGGACAACUUGCAGGAGUUUUAUCUCUCUCCACCAUUUGGGUCCUGGGAAUUGAACUCCUGCUGUCUGGCUUGGCGGCAAGUGCCUUUACCCGCACAACUGUCUCACCAGCCCUUUUGUUCCUCAGACAAGUAUCGUACACCAGGCUAACUCCAAAGAUGACGUCAGGCAAAGAUGACCUUGAAUGGAUCCUCCUGCCCCUGCUUCCUGGGUCCUGAUAGGCAAUGAUACCUGGUUUACCUCUGACUUCUGAUCGAUAUCAAGGUAGCACUUUGGAGAUUGAAGCAGGAGGAUGAACUAUAAUUAUUUCAAGGCCAGCCUAGUGUAUAGAAUAAGAUUCUUGUCUUGAUCGGAAGGAAACAGAUGCUGGAGAGAGAAGAAAGAGGAGAAGGGCUGGAGGGACAGCCCAGCCGUUAAGAUCACUGCUCUCGUAGAAGACCCUUGUUCAGUGCCCAGAACGCACCUGGAGGCUCAGGACUGCCCAUAACUCCGUUCCGAGGAAUCCAACACCCACAUCGGUCUUCCGUGGACUCCCAGCUUAGAACGUGUGCAAUCCCACAGGCUAGGGUCUCCUCUUUUCCAAGUUAACAUCAUAAACGGUUAUGAGGAGAGCAGCGUGCUGUCUCCGCUUACUGCCAAGCCUGAGAACCUGAGUUGGAUACCCCAGAGCCCGCAUGGUGGAAGGACAGAACGACUCCUGCAAGUUCUCCUCUGACAUCUACACUCGUGCGUUGUAGUGGCUCAUGGGCCCCUACUUCCAGAAGUAAAUU